CAGGCACUGUUUUUGGUACUAUGGGGGACACAGGAAUGAGUAAGAGAGGUCCUAAAUUCCAUGCUGAUACUACAUAUUGCUGAUAAUCAGAUCAAUUUCAUAAAGUAUUACAGUUCUGGCCAUAUAGAAAGGGUUCUAGUUUUAUCUAUGAAAUUUCUCUUAAUUGUCUAUAGCACUGAUACAAUCUUACAAAGCUGCCUAUGACAUCUUAUCUUGCACAUGCACUGCAGCAAGAAGGCUGAUGCUCAGUAUGUGGAACGUCUGGAGUGAUCAUCUCAAAGCCUUUGUCACAUAACUUGCUGAGUUUUCUGAUAUUCUGAUAGUAGUUAUAAGAUGCCUGAGUAACUCAUGAAAUCUUAUGGAUUUUUAUCUCACUUUAUAGAUUUAAUGACCUCCACCAUCUCUAAGAACAAGCAGCUAUUUCUGUAGAGAAAGAUCAUCUUUGGAUAACAAUACAUGAUUUUAGGCUCUAAAAGUUAAAACGUGUUUGUAACGUUGAUAUUAUGCAGAGGUCUUGACAGAACUUGGCAGUCUCUGAGGCUACAGAGAAGUGUGAAAAAGAGCAUAGAGAUUUCAGAAGGAGGCAGAUUCAGUCAGACGUACUGAAUCCCGUUUGAUCUCAACUCAGGCACACUCCAGAUGGACGGAGCAGGAAAACCCUUAGUGAAACCUGCCUCUGCAGGUUGAUGGCUUGGGAGGAAAGGCAUUAUGGAAAAUGAUUAGAUGUGAGAAUCACAGCAAAGGAAGAAUGGGCAUGAAUAGUAAAUGGUAAAUGUGGGGAUGCAGUAUUGAACAGCACACUGGAGUUUUUGUCCAGAAGUUUGACUUUAGAAGAUAAGAAAUAACUGAGCGUAUUACAAGCAGGAGUUAGAGGAAGAGACUCAGUACAGAAGAGACAGGAACAAAAGUUCACCUCCAUUCAAUGGGAAAGGAUACAGAUCAAGAGUUCAGGAAAAGUAGGAGAAAGAAGCUCUAUUCCAGAAGCAGUCUGGAGCACAAAGAAUCCCUAAUCACUGACAUUAAGAAAGAAGAAAAAUAUUCCUAGGACGAUCCUGGAGAGCAAAGAGACAGGAUCUCACUUUUUUUGCCCACUACUGGGCUCAAGCGAUCCUCCUGCCUCCAUCUCCCCAAGUGCUGGGAUUACAGCCAUGAGCCACCAUGCCCGGCCCCAGCUCGCAACUUUCUGUGUGACCUCAGAUAGGAGGUUCUUCAACUGACAGCUACACAUCCACCCCUGCUACUUUCUUCAUUGCCUCCACAGUUUCUAUAAGGAAAAGGCAAAAUCUUCAUACCUGCAGAAUUAGCGCCACAUAGAUGCUGCCAAAGGGUUUUCUGCCUGUGCCCUCUGGAGAGGUGACAUCACAUCCCCCACUGCACCAGGGCCCAUUGAGCAACACUUGGAGCAACCAAGGGGUGCCACACCAGAAUGUGGGGACCAGUGACUUCAGGGAUUGCUGGGAAGCAAGCCCCAAGGUCCCCAGGGCACCCUAGGGCCUUCCUUGGAAACUGUACUGCCCUCAAUGCUCUGGCAACAUGGUCCUGUGAUGAGAGUGCAGCCCAAGCAAUUUACAAAACACCUUCCGGGUUGCUCUUUCAUUGUCCUGGUGAAGAGUACAGUCCUGAUCCAUGUCUCCUGAUUCACAACCUUUGUGUUCUCUCCCACACUUUAUUUGUUAAAAUAUGGACAGGCUGAGAAGAAUAAAAAUUUCCCAAAUCUUUA
rnacentral:lncRNA from 1 species